GACAGAGGUCCCGAGCGUUAGGCGGAAUCACUGGGCUUAAAGCGUGUGUAGGCGGAUUGGUAAGUACCUUGUGAAAUCCCACGGCUCAACCGUGGAACUGCUUGGUAUACUGCUUAUCUUGGGCCACUUAGGGGCUACCGGAACAAACGGUGGAGCGGUGAAGUGCGUAGAUAUCGUUUGGAACGCCAAUGGUGAAAACAGGUAGCUGGGAGUGUGCCGACGCUGAGACACGAAAGCCAGGGGAGCGAACGGG
rnacentral:rRNA from 1 species